rnacentral:rRNA from 1 species
GAUGAACGCUGGCGGCGUGCUUAAUACAUGCAAGUCGAACGGGGAGUUGUAUUUCGGUAUAACUUCCAGUGGCGAACGGGUGAGUAACGCGUUGGUGACCUGCCCUUAAGACGAGGAUAACCAAGGGAAACUUUGGCUAAAACUGGAUAGGAACAUUGGAGGCAUCUCUGAUGUUUUAAAAGACCUAGCAAUAGGUAUGCUUAAGGAGGGGCCUGCGGCGCAUUAGUUAGUUGGUGAGGUGAAGGCUUACCAAGACGAUGAUGCGUAGCCGGACUGAGAGGUUGAACGGCCACAUUGGGACUGAGAAACGGCCCAAACUCCUACGGGUGGCAG